UACUUGUUGAUUGGUAUACCCAUCAUGCACGACUUGCUCUGUUCGCUCUCAUGGUUUUUUUCUUGUCCUCUUUGUGGAAAUAAAAACUAAUAGCAGAACUAGUUGUCUAGUUGUAUUAUGAGAGGUCUUGCUCUCUAGUAUUCAUAGGAAAAUUUCAGACAAUGAUUAUCCCCUUUAUGAUGCUUCAAAGUUGUCCUUGUCCAUGUUUAACUUCAAAGGUACUCACUUUGUAUAUGUCUUGGCUAGCAAUAAUUUUUGUAUUACUACAGAAAUAAUCUUCUUAAGUCCUAGCAUUAAGAAUUAUAGUCCAACUACGAAAAAAUACUAUAGUAUGUUAUGUUGUAAUUUUAUAAAUUCUUUUGUGUAAUUACAAUAAUUUUACUUUCUUUACUAGUUUCAAUCUUUCCCCAAGCAGCCCCUUAUAUACCAGCACAAAAUCCAUGUCUAGGUACCAUUAGAGCCCACCAGAUCAUUAUUGGAAAUGUUGGCUAUUCUUGAUUAUACAAAGUCUAAAUCUUAUUUUGUUGAUUAUACAAAAUCUGAACCUUUUAAUCUGAGCUAUGUCACUACCUUGUUUAUUGUACAAUAUAAACCAAGUUUAGUCUUUGUUUAUUCAUGUACUUAUUUUGUGUCCUGUUACUAUAUAUUUGUUACCUGAUAUUUCCAACUACAAGUUAUCUUUCUAGUUGUGGACUGAGUGUAGGUGUAGGUGUUGGCUGUAUAGCAAUUAAACAAUGUAGGUAUUGGUUGUAGAGCAACAUAUGGUUGUACAUAGUUAAUACUAUAGUUUUCCCUUUGUAGGAUGCAUUUGUUUCCCACACCUAUCUGAUUUUCCCAAGUCGUGUAGUACUAUUGCAUAGAGCGUUUUAAUCAAUAUAAACUAUUUUUUUAAUAUGCUACUACAUGACUGAAUGUUUUUCUUCCAGUCUGUCCUAUCUCUUCUAUUGGCUUACUCAUUCAUAGAUGAAAACUUCUUUUUAUUGAAACUUUGAUCUGCAGUCCUGAUAUGAUUCAUUUAGCAAUCAAGUAAAUAUGAAAACAUGGCCUGAAAUUUCAGAAUUCUUAUAGUAUAAUUACACCAUCAUUUAGUAUUGUAAUUGUCUAGUUUUUUACUGUAAAACCUAAAAUUGAGCAUUGAUUUUCUAUUUCAAAUUUACCCAAGCAUUCUAAUUUCUUCCUGACCUUUACUUUGUGGUAUUGUAGGAGCUAGGGGCCAUCAUGGCCAUUAGCAUCUUCCACUAAAGUUUCUUUUAUCGUUCUAUAUGUAAGAGAACAAGAUAAUACCAAAGAUGUAGUUGCAGCAAAAAUACUUGUGUGUCUUACUCUUUUAGUUUGGUGAGUUGAGAGCUUAAGAUUUAUUGUGGACUCAAUCUACAAAUACACCAUCCUUUUGUGUUGUAAUUUUGAAGUUGGUUACUAUAAAACAUAAGUGAGCAAUACUUCACUAGGAUUUUCGGUGCCAAAUAUACCCAAGUAUCUUAGUUUCUCCCUGACCUGUUACUUUCUAGGAUUGCAGAAAUGGAGUUGAGGUUGAGGAGAACUCAGGCUUACACAGACAUGUUUUGAAAGUGCAUUGAGAAGAGGUGCAUUGAGAAGAGGUACACCUAAUUUUAUACAGACAAGUGCAUUGAGAAGAGUGAGGUUUGUUAAAGUUGCAUUCUUGAUUUCCUUUUGAGGUUGGUCCUUUGUGUGUACUGAUUUGUGGUUCGAUUGCCAUGCAUGUAGUUGAUUCCCUUUUCUACUCUUUGUGGCUGCACCUGUUUUGUGUUGUUCUGUCAGUUUCCCUUCCGCUUUCAGUCUGACGGCCUCGUCAUUCGCUGAGAGCCCGACACGUUCGUCGCACACUCGCACGCACGCUCGCACCCAUGGUCGUUCACUGGUUGAUUGUAGUGAUGGACAACAUAGGAAGAUAUGUGCAUCAUAUUUUCUUGUGGUUAGCAAAAUACCUUAGACAUCACAAAUGUUCAGUUGAGUGCUUUUUCAGUUGAACCAUUACAAUGUUUAAUUAGGUGAUCUAUCUUGACUGCAGUCAUGCCCAACACUAACCACAAACUAUCACAUUAUCUGUACUGCUACCUUUUUAAAAAA